rnacentral:rRNA from 1 species
AGAGUUUGAUCCUGGCUCAGGACGAACGCUGGCGGCGUGCUUAACACAUGCAAGUCGAACGGUGAUCUUGAGAGCUUGCUCUUGGGUGAUCAGUGGCGAACGGGUGAGUAACACGUGAGCAACCUGCCCCAGACUCUGGAAUAACCCCGGGAAACCGGAGCUAAUACCGGAUACGACACUGGCCCGCAUGGGUAUGGUGUGGAAAGUUUUUCGGUCUGGGAUGGGCUCGCGGCCUAUCAGCUUGUUGGUGAGGUAGUGGCUCACCAAGGCGACGACGGGUAGCCGGCCUGAGAGGGCGACCGGCCACACUGGGACUGAGACACGGCCCAGACUCCUACGGGAGGCAGCAGUGGGGAAUAUUGCACAAUGGGCGCAAGCCUGAUGCAGCGACGCCGCGUGAGGGAUGACGGCCUUCGGGUUGUAAACCUCUUUCAGCAGGGAAGAAGCGCAAGUGACGGUACCUGCAGAAGAAGCACCGGCUAACUACGUGCCAGCAGCCGCGGUAAUACGUAGGGUGCGAGCGUUGUCCGGAAUUAUUGGGCGUAAAGAGCUUGUAGGCGGUUUGUCGCGUCUGCUGUGAAAAUCCGGGGCUCAACCCCGGACUUGCAGUGGGUACGGGCAGGCUAGAGUGUGGUAGGGGAGACUGGAAUUCCUGGUGUAGCGGUGAAAUGCGCAGAUAUCAGGAGGAACACCGAUGGCGAAGGCAGGUCUCUGGGCCACUACUGACGCUGAGAAGCGAAAGCAUGGGGAGCGAACAGGAUUAGAUACCCUGUAGUCCAUGCCGUAAACGUUGGGAACUAGGUGUGGGUCUCAUUCCACGAGAUCCGUGCCGCAGCUAACGCAUUAAGGUUCCCCGCCUGGGGAGUACGGCCGCAAGGCUAAACUCAAAGGAAUUGACGG